CCUAGUACUGAUGUGCAGGUGAAACAUGUCAGCUGUUUAACUGUGUUCUGCAAGAAGUGGAGAAAAGUUUGCAUGUCCAUAACACCGUGCAAAGAAACAGUAAGAACCCAGAAUUGAAUUUGGUUAGGAAUGGAGAGAUAUGUUCAAGGUGAGCAUACUGUGAAUUGAAGGCAGUGUGGAGACAGAGUAGGAAUGGUGCACAAAGAAGGUAUCAAGGUUUUGCUCUGCCAACACCACACUGUCUCUGGGAAGAGGUCACCACCAUGCUGCUCCGAGAGGGCGCUCCC